rnacentral:rRNA from 1 species
GUAGUCUCGCACAGAUGCAUAUCAAUAAGCGGAGGAAAAGAAACUAACAAGGAUUCCCUCAGUAACGGCGAGUGAAGCGGGAAGAGCUCAAAUUUGAAAUCUUGAAAGGUCACCUUUCACGAAUUGUAGUUUAAAGAAGUGUUUUCUGUUACGAUCGUAAUAUAAGUUCUUUGGAAUAGGACAUCACAGAGGGUGAGAAUCCCGUCUAUGAUUGCGAUUUGUAGCUUUGUGAUACACUUUCAAAGAGUCGGGUUGUUUGGGAAUGCAGCCCAAAACGGGAGGUAAAUUUCUUCUAGGGCUAAAUAUUGGCGAGAGACCGAUAGCGAACAAGUACCGUGAGGGAAAGAUGAAAAGAACUUUGAAAAGAGAGUUAAAUAGUACGUGAAAUUGUCAAAAGGGAAGCGUUUAACACCAGUGUUGUUUUCUGAAAAUCAACCUCUGUUAGCUUUAUGCAUGUUUGUUUAGACCUAAUCAGCUAUCUUGCAUGUUCUAUUGUUUGCAGUGGUGCACUUUUCAGUUUACAGGUCAACAUCAGUUUUUUUUACCGUAAAAAAGUUAAAGAAAGGUAGCUCAUGGCUCCGGUCGUGAGUGUUAUAGUCUUUUUCCUAUGCGGUAGGAGAGACUGAGGUCUGCAGUGUAGGCUAUUUGGCUAGAUACUCAGGUGCUAUGUGAUAGCCAUUUCAUAAACAACUUGUUGAUUAUGUUUUGUCUAUUGCAUACUCGCUUGUACUAUCAUACCUACGCUUAGGAUGUUGAGUCGUAGAGCACGCAG